AAAGUUGCCUUAAGGGCUAUGACUUCAUUUUCUUAAGUUAUUCAUUGUAGGAAAAAAACUCAUUCUACAACAUAAAUUUCCAUUGAGAGGGUAGAAACGUUACUUUCAGUGGUUAUAGCAGCAACAUCACUUCAAUUAUUAGUGAAGCAAAGUAUAAUUCCUCUCAAGAAUGAUAUACGGGUUUUGUUCUCUACCUCGAUCCCGUUAUUCCGUUGUUGUCGUAUUGUUGAAUCCGGGCCUUCUUCAAAGUGAAGUAAGGUGGAAGAAGAGUACUUCUUUGUAUAUAAGAUUGGGAAGCCUGGGAUCUAAUUUGUGGUUAGCUCGGAGCAGAUAAGUCCCAGAUUGUUUUGCAGGUAGAAGUAUUCAGCUAGGAUGGUUGGCUAUCAGCUGGGAUUGGCAAACUCCAUUUUCUUCCUGGAGCAGUGCCGAGUCAUUAUGGUUAUCAUAUGUAUGCAUGGGUAUGUCGGGGCCCUGUCUCGACUCAUAUGAUUCAGGUGUUUAUUCUUAGAGACUUUGCAGACAGUGUCCUUUGAUUAGUAUGUUGAGAUGUCAUGUGUUGAGUAAAGCGACAAUGUAGGCCGAUAUGUCAGUUUGACUUACUCAAUUUUUAAUUAAUUGAGUAUCG